UACGGAGGGUGCAAGCGUUACCCGGAAUCACUGGGCGUAAAGGGCGUGUAGGCGGGAUGCUAAGUCUGACUUUAAAGACCAUGGCUCAACCAUGGGAGUGGGCUGGAUACUGGCAUUCUAGACGACUGGAGAGGCGAUUGGAAUUACUGGUGUAGCGGUGGAAUGCGUAGAUACCAGUAGGAACGUCAAUGGCGAAGGCAGGUCGCUGGACAGUCUGUGACGCUGAGGCGCGAAAGUGUGGGGAGCAAACCGGAUUAGAAACCCUAGUAGUCC
rnacentral:rRNA from 1 species